GUAAGCAUCACAAUAGUUAAUAUCCUGUAUGUGGCCUUAUACUGAUAAUAACGUGUAGUAUGCACCGGGCUUUAUACUUUUUGGUUGUUGUGUUUAUGGUCAUUUUAGUUUUAUAUAGAGAACUGUCAGAUUUUGGCGGAAUGCCGUCGACCGAUAUUAUGUACGAUUUGUUCUUAGUUAAUACGGUGUAUUGAUGUAAUAAAAGAAAUAUUAACUGGAUGCAGUGGUUUGUAUGAUAAACCCCAUUUACUGAGCUUUAAAACAAUGGACUUCUACAUCUCAGAAAGCGGGAUUAUGAAUUCAAAUGCCCACAUAGAUAUUGGAUGCACUUAAUUUAUUUUCACUUGUAUAGAGGUGCAUAAAAAUGUAAGUUGCUUGGUCUUUUAAAUGUUUGUUUCAUAGUCGAAACAGUUGAGUUGAUAGUAUAUAAAUGAUACAAGAUUUCAUUAGCUUGUUUGUUUUGCUCGCUAAAGAGAACGAUUGACAGUUCGUUUCGUUUGCAUAAAUCAAAAGUUUUGUUUUAAAUUUUCAAUGUACUGUACAUAGUUACAUACAUUUGCUAUGGUAUUGACCUAUUUAUUAACCCGUGUUCUUGUCAUUGUUUGUUUUCGGUUUUGUGAGAUGAGACGGAAUACAAUGAGAGUAGAUCUCGAAAAUGCAAGCGCAAGCAAUCAACCAUCAACUUUCUGGUGAGACAAGAGCCAUACUUAAGAGCCUGUGACAUGGUUAUGAAGGAAGGCAACGCGUUGAUGAUAAGCGAGGGUCUCGCAGCAAGAGCUGACUAAAGCAAAGAAGGUUAAGCUAUUACAUGGUGAUGUCAGCAGUGGGGCAGGGUGCAAGCUGCCGAUGGCCAGGGCCGCUGAGUGAGAAACCGGCGUACUAUACACGCCGUGUCCAGGAUAUAGCAAUCUGCAUCUGACCAGCGAGAGUCUCUGAGUGUUGGGUUGGUUGGGUUGGUCAGUUUGGCAGACUGUCUAGUACAGGCCGUAAUGGCAGACUGUUUAUUAUGUUAGUUUAUACUUUGGCUGACUAUCUAGAGCAGGCCCUGAUGGCAGACUGUCUAGAGGCCAUAAGUAGGUAUAUAUGCUGUUAAGGUACUUGUAAUAUGAGAUACUUGUAAUUUGUUUGAAUUUAUAUUUGCGGUUAGUUGUAUUUUAUAAUUGUUGAUGUGUUUUUUUUAAUUGUAUGCAAAUUCCAUGUUGACGUGUAAAAGUGCCCUUGUGGCCUAUUUGCUGAAUAAAUGUUGAAAUUGAAGAAGUUGGCCUUGUUGCCUGAUUCAUUAUAUUCGUUUAUACUUUGACAAACUGCCCAGAGUAGGCCUUGAAGGCAGACUGUCUAGAACAAGCUAUGAUAGCAGCCUGUCUUCUAGAGCAGGCCGCGAUGACAGACUGUCUAGACUAAUCUAGUCUGAAGCAGGCCAUAACAAAUUAAAUCAGUACAAUGAUUAGGUGUGAGGUUUGGCAGACUGUCUAGAACAGGCUAUGAUAGCAGCCUGUCUUCUAGAGCAGGCCGUGAUGGCAGACUGUCUAGACGAAUCUAGUCUAGAGCAGGCCAUAACAAAUUAAAUCAUUACAAUGAUUAGGUGUGAGGUUUGGCAGACUGUCUAGAACAGGCUAUGAUAGCAGCCUGUCUUCUAGAGCAGGCCGUUGUGGCAGACUGUCUAGACUAAUCUAGUCUAGAGCAGGCCCUAACAAAUUAAAUCAUUAAAAUGAUUAGGUGUGAGUUUUGGCAGACUGUCUAGAACAGGCUUUGAUAGCAGCUUGUCUUUUAGAGCAGGCCGUGAUGGCAGACUGUCUAGACCAGUCAAGUCUAGAGCAGGCUAUAACAAUUUAUACUUUGGAAUGAUGUCUAGAGCAGGCCUUGAAGGCAGACUGUGAUUGUUUAUGAUGUGUUAUAUUUUGUUAAAAUUCCUAGAGCAGGCCUUGAGGGCAGACUGUGAUUUUUGAUGUUGAUUUAUACUUUGCCAAACUGUUUAGAGCAGGCCUUGAGGGCAGACUGUGAUUGUUUGUGGUUAUGUAUUAUAUUUUGCCAAACUGUUUAGAGCAGGCCUUAAGGGCAGACUGUGAUUGCUUCUGAUCAUGUUAUAUACUUUUUCAAACUGUUUAGAGCAGGCCUUGAGGCAGACUGUGAUUGUUUAUGAUCAUGUAUUUAUACUUUGCCAGACUGUUUAGAGCAGGCCUUGAGUGCAGACUGUGAUUGUUUAUGAUCAUGUAUUAUACUUUGUCCAACUGUUUAGAGCAGGCCUUGAGUGCAAACUGUGAUUGUUUAUGAUCAUGUAUUAUACUUUGCCCAACUGUUUAGAGCAGGCCUUGAGUGCAGACUGUGAUUGUUUAUGAUCAUAUAUUAUACUUUGCCAAACUGUUUAGAGCAGGCCUUGAGUGCAGACUGUGAUUGUUUAUGAUCAUGUAGUAUACUUUGUCAAACUAUUUAGAGCAGGCCUUGAGUGCAGACUGUGAUUGUUUACGAUCAUGUAUUAUACUUUGCCAAAUUGUUUAGAUCAGGCCUUGAGGUUGGUUUAUACUUUGGCAGACUGCCUAGAGCAGACCAUGAUUGUAAGUUAGUUCAUAUAUUGAAAGACUAUCUAAAGAAGGCUGUUAAUGCUACCAGGUGUUGGUUGUAUUCAAUGACUGUUUACAUGAUCUCAGAUUCAAGCAUGUUAAGCGUUAAGAUUUAUUUCUCAAUAAGCUUAAAGGUUACUAUUGGCUAUGAUUGAUUCACGUGAGCCCAUACUGUGCAUAAGAAGUGUACUGUGUAGAAGUUUACAAAUACUGUUGUUGUGAAUGUUUAUCUUUGAUAUCGAUAAAGGUGUUACGAUAUAUUGCUGUUGUUAUUAAUGUUUAUAAUUACUUUUAGUGAGAGGGCUCACUUUUAAAAAAAAGGAUGGCCGAAGCUGUAAGCAUCACAAUAGUUAAUAUCCUGUAUGUGGCCUUAUACUGAUAAUAACGUGUAGUAUGCACCGGGCUUUAUACUUUUUGGUUGUUGUGUUUAUGGUCAUUUUAGUUUUAUAUAGAGAACUGUCAGAUUUUGGCGGAAUGCCGUCGACCGAUAUUAUGUACGAUUUGUUCUUAGUUAAUACGGUGUAUUGAUGUAAUAAAAGAAAUAUUAACUGGA